GUGUGUGCAUAAAGAAAGUAAUGUGCUUUUUUAUUUUAAUUUUUCGUAAUUUUCUCUAAUUAUAAAAUAAUAAUAUCUUUUAAUAUUUCAAGUGUUUUCUUUUAUACAAAUUAUUUAUAACGAGUAACUGUCAAAGUAUGCUUUCUCUCUCAUGCUCCCAGUGUAAGUUUGCUUAACGUACGCAGGUGCGUCUUCCAUGGCGAGAGGAGGCAAGCGAGGUCGAGGUCGAGGUCGAUCACGGAAAACAACGACGGAAAUAGUAGUGAACACAGUGGGUAUUCUAUUGACAUCUGGUGGAACACAUGCGACGGUUACUCCUAGGGUUCCACAAAUUGUUACAAGCUCGGUGGAAAUGAGUGAAGGUGAACAAUAAAAUGAGCUCAAUACAAACAAAUCUUUUAUGAAAUGCCUCGAUUUGAGUUCUCCGAUUUCAAUUGACCAACCUAGCACUUCGCAGCAUCCGAAUCAACAAUGUUCAAAUGAAAUAGGGAAUGGAACAUUAAAAGACGAAGGGGAAAUCUCAGAUGCUGCUGUACAUCCCAAAGAAGGUUGGGUAAACCUCUUCAAGAACAAUAGAUCUGUAAUGACUGGUAUGACCCUAAAUUAUCACCCUCCGCAGAUAGUUGGUGGUAAAACUAUUGUUCAAUUAGAGAAGAUACAUGUCGAUAAGGAGGUGGAGAAGUGGAAUUGUGCUCUUAUUGCAUACAUGAUUGGACCCAAGCCAGGAUAUAAUGCUAUGAAACGAUACAUAAACCAACAAUGGUCUUCUGUAGAUGAACCUGAUAUAUUUCUCGAUGAAGAGGCCUAUGUGAUUAAAUUUCAGUCUUUGGCGGAUAAGAAUGAAAUAUUAUAUACAGGACCUUACACCAUGAAUAAUAGACCCAUCUUUUGGAAACAGUAGACUCCAGACUUUGAUUUCUCUGUUGAAUUUCCUACGGAAAUACCUCUAUGGGUAGUCUUUCAUAAUCUUCCGAUGAGUUGUUAGGGAGGGGAAUCACUGAGUAGAAUAGGCAGUGCUGUGGGGAAGCCUAUUUAUGCAUGAGUGCAUUACUAAUCAAACCAGAAUAUCCUACGCUAGGAUGCUCAUUGAAGUCAAUAUCACCAAACCAUUACCCUCAGAAAUUUCUAUCCUUGAACCUGCAGGCAGAGAAUUUAAACGGAGUGUUGAUUAUGAUUCAAAACCUGCAUUUUGUGAAAAGUGUAUGAUAGUUGGUCACAAAUGUCCUGCGAAAAUGAUUGCCCAACAAUAACCUUACAACAGAAACCAGACCAUGAAGAAACAUAUACAAGAAUGGCAAUGUAAAGGCCCCAUUACUCACCAGGCUCUUCAACAAGAUUCAAUAGUUGAUCAAAUAGUUGAGCAAUCUCCUAAGGCUCAACAGAUUCUUGAAAAGGUGAUUCAAAAGGUAGGUCAUACAACAUCGGCUCCGAAGAGAACAGAAGAUGCAAUCAACCUUGCAUUUGAUCUGGAAUUUUCCGACACUCUCACCUACACCUACAAGAAAUGGAUUUGAGAUUUUGAGCCAGAGGAAUUGUGAUUUUCUUCAGUCCCUUCCAGACAAAGGAGGGACUAGUCAAUCUCAAUUAUGAAGUGGUUAUUUUGGAACAUUCAAGGCAUCAAUAAGAGUUAUAAGCAGAAGGAGCUGAAAUUGUACCUCAAGAAUAAGAAAAUCAAGUUCGCUGGACUCAUUAAAACUAGAGUCAAAGACCAUAAUAUUUCGAAGGUAUUAAAUAGCAUUGCUCCAGGAUGGUGUUGUGUACAUAAUUAUCAGUAUGCAACAAAUGGAAGAGUAUGGGUUAUCUGGGAUCCAACUUGGAAUUCUAUAAAUGUGAUUAGAAUGGGAGCCCAAUUCAUUCACUGUAAUGUUAAAGAUAGAACGGGAAACAUUGAUUGUUUUGUCACUAUUAUGUAUGGCUAUAAUACUAUUGAGCAGCGGAAGGAUUUAUGGAAUACCCUAGUUGAUAUCUCAGUGAACAUUAACAAGCCUUGGCUAACUUGCGGUGAUUUUAAUGUUGUGCUACAUCCUAAAGAUAAACUUCAAGGUAAUCCUAUUAGUUAUGGAGAGAUACAAGAUUUUGCUACAUGUAUCCAAAGUCUCCUGUUGAAUGAACUUUCUUAGUGAGGAGAGUACUACACUUGUCCAAUAAGCAACAUGGAGAUAAUAGGAUAUGCAACAGUUUAGAUCGAGCACUAGGAAAUUGUGAGUGGAUGAUGAAGUGGGGGUAUGUGCAACUUAAUUAUGAGUUACCAUUCAUAUCUGAUCAUGCACCUAUGAUACUAACUAUGUCCGCAGAGAUAUGGAACCAGAAAUGCUCGGGGAGAAAAAUAGAGGUUGUAUGGAAGAAACUCAAAGACCUCAAGCCACAGUUGAAGCAACUGAAUACUCAAGAGUUUAAAGGUCUAUCAAAAAGAAUAGAAAUAGCCAGGAGUGAACUAUUGGUAAUCCAGAAACAAAUGAAUGUACAAUGUACACAAGAUUUGAUGACACAAGAAAGCAGGCAUCUCCAAGACUUGGUGAGAUGGUCAACGAUUGAAGAAAAUGCCCUUAAACAAAAAUCAAGGGCAACGUGGAUUAAACUAUGAGACUCCAACUCUAAAUAUUUUUUAGCUGUUAUCAAGGAGAGGAGCCAGAAAAAGAUGAUAAUAGAGUUUAACUUAUCUCACCGGCGGCAAGCUUACUGAUCCGGAGGAAAUCAAAAUUGAAAUUCUCGAUUUCUACAAAGGUUUAAUGGGAACAGUUGCUCGUUGCUUGCCUGCUGUUAACAAAGCUACAAUGACCAAUGGCCCAAUCUUAUCCAAUCAACAAAGAAUUACUCUUUGUGAGCCAGUGACUGAAAAAAGAAAUAUGGGAUGGUUUAACAACUAUAGAAGAUGAUAAAUCUCCUGGAAUUGAUGGUUUUAAUGCUAAAUUUUACAAAAAAAACCUAGCAUAUCAUCAAAGAGGAUGUUAUCGAGGCAAUGAAGGAAUUCUUUACAAUAGGUCAGCUUACUAAAUCUAUUAAUUGUACAGCACUCACCCUAAUCCCAAAAGUGCUAGCUCCUGUCAUAAUUAAAGACUUUAGACUAAUUGCAUUUUGCACAGUCCUAUACAAGAUAAUUUCCAAGGUACUCGCUGCUAGAUUACAACCGGUCAUGCCUACCAUUAUUUGUGAAGCUUAAGCAAGCUUCAUUCCUGGGAGAAUGAUCGGUGACAAUGUUAUUUUGGCUUAAGAGUUGGUCAAAGCUUACACUAGGAAACACUUAUCAGCCAGAUGUAUGACCAAGAUUGACCUACAAAAGGCAUAUGAUUCUAUUGAGUGGAUUUUCUUGGAACAAGUAAUGCUAGAACUUGGCUUUCCUAAAAGAUUUAUCAACUGGAUAAUGCAAUAUGUGAAAACUCUCAAUUAUACCAUUCUGUUUAAUAGAGAUACCACUGAACCUUUUAACGCUGCAAAGGGCCUGCGACAAGGUGAUCCUAUCUCACCCUUCUUAUUUGCUAUAAGUAUGGAAUACUUGAGUAAGUGCCUUAACAAACUGAAAAUGUCAGCUGAGUUCAAGUUCCAUUCUAGAUGUGUAAAACUGCGGAUUACACAUUUUUGCUUCACUGAUGACUUACUACUCUUUCCUACAGGAGACUUUGAGUCGGUCUCUGCACUGUAUCAAGCUUUCCUCACCUUCUCCAAAGCUUCUGGUCUUCAUCCUAACAUAGGAAAGAGCUCGGUUUACUUUGGCGGGGUCCCACAACAAGAGAAAGAUAGAAUUCUUCAACACCUUGGUUUUGUCUAUGGAGAACUCCCUUUUAAGUAUCUUGGCAUUCCUCUUUCCACAAAAAAACUAUCACUUUUGCAAUGGCAGCCUCUCAUUGAAAGAAUUAUCACUAGAAUUUCUUCUUGGACAGUGAAGAAAAUAUCCUACGCAGGGAGAAUUCAAUUGAUUCAAUCAGUGGUGUUUGGUAUGCAGGCUUAUUGGGCGCAACUAUUUACGAUUCCUUCCAAAAUUCUCAAAGUGAUUGAUGCGUAUUGUCAGAGUUAUAUGUGGUCUGGGUCAAACACGAUCACUAGAAAGGCAUUAUAGUAAGGGAUAAGGUCUGCUCACCUAUUGCCACAGGAGGACUAAACUUGAUUAACUUGAGAUUAUGGAACAAAGCUGCUAUUGCAAAAAUAUGUUGGGAUAUAGCCAAUAAAGCAAACAAAUUAUGGGUGAUAUGGGUUCAUACAUACUAUAUAAAAGAUACACUUUUCAAUGAGAUUCAUAUACCUCAACAGGCAUCUUGGAUGAUUAAACAAAUCAUAUCUGCUAGAGACACUCUUGCUUUAGUCUAUCAGGUUUCAACUUCCUCUCAUAGCCUAAUCAAACAGUUCUACCAUGCUCUCCUUCCUACUGAACUACCUACGCCUUGGAAAUGCCUGAUGUUUGAGAAUGAUGCACGAUCAAAGGCAAAAUUUACUAUGUGGCUUCACUUUCAUGGGAAUUUACUAACUGUGGACAGACUUAUAGAUGGGGUCUUAAACUUUCCCGUACCUGUGUUCUAUGUCUGAUGCAAGAUGAAACUAGAGAUCAUCUUUUCCUUUCUUAUCCUUUGCACAGACCCUUUGGACUCAGAUGUUUCACUGGAUAUAUAAAGAUGCUAUCACUGCAAGCACAUGGGAGGACUAUACAAUGUGGGCCGUAAAGAAAGCUAAAGGAAGAUAGCAAGGAGAAAGAAUCUUCAAACUUGUAUUUGCUGAAUAUGUACACACUCUCUAGGUUGAAAGAAACCAAAGAAUAUCUGAGGAAAAACAGAGGACAUGUGACAGCCUUGCAAAAGAAUUAGCUUACACCUGCAUUACCAGAGCUAAACCAACAAUCAGUACUCUUCUGCAUAAUUAUCGUUUCUAGCUAGCUUGACUAUUGCCUCGAGUAGUUUUUUGUUCCCUUCUAGUUGAUUGAUUAGAAUCCUUGUCUUUCCCUUUU